GGAGGAGUAAGAAAGGAAAGUGAAACCUGUUCACGAAGAAUGCUUUUUAAAAAGAUGUUGUUAAGGUGUGUAUGCAUCUAGUAUUUCACUUGAAGCAGGUAUGAGAGCUGAGUCUUUUGGCUCUGCUAAAUUUGCUGCAAGUAAUUGCAGGAGGAUGCGUGUGAGCUGAAAACCUCUCGUAUUAUUAGAUGUGUUGUCUGAUAUUAGAUAUAUUGUCUGAUACUAAACAGAGGGCUGUAUGUUGUCUGUCCCAGCAGCUAUUGGGCAGGAGCUGAAUGUUUUCAUGGCACAGUUUGAAAAGGGAUGAGGGCGAGUGACACUGAGAGCCUGCCACGGAAUGAGCAUGUUGUGGCCACUGCUUUAGUCAAACAACUGUUGCUCUUGUACAGUCAUUCAUGAUUUUGAAAUUACAGAUGUAUAAAAAUAUUACGUUUUCUAGCAGAAUUUAGAUGUUUCUUCAAAGAGUACAUUUUGAUUCUAAUUCCAAACUUAAAAUUUCAGUAAGCCUAGAGGACUUCUUAAUGGCACAUGAGAUUUCUAAACUCCUUCAGGCUGCCUGUUUAUAGUCAGAAGCUGUAAUAAUCCCUGAUAGGGAGCAAAGUGUAUGUGUAGUGUAUUAGAGCAGCAGCACAGAUGGGAAAUGGCUAGUGGCCUGCAAACCUCCUGCUCAAGGAAAUAUUUUCCCCAAAAAACAAUUAGACUGAAGCUAUUUGAAAAGUGACAGACACUUACCAGCAAAACAAGCUGCUAAACAAGCAAUGGCAGUUUUCCCAUUUCAAAUCCCAUUACUCUGUGGAGCCAUUGAUAUGCUUGGUCUACAGCCAGAACAGGGCUACGUCAUGGCAGAUGUUUCACGAGGGCAGCUCUGCGUGCUAAAAACCAUCUGCCUUUCUGAAAUCUUAUUUCUCGGAGGUGAUAUUUCUUCGUACUUGACUUUUGUCCUGGCUACCAAUUUGCAGAGAGGAAAAUAGAUCCAACCACAUUUAGCUUUCCAGAACUGCAGUGAAGUUAUGUAAGAGAAGCUUCCUGUUGACAGGACAUGUGUGUCUGUCUACUCAGUCCUCCUUUUUUGGUAUUUUUCAGUGAGUUUAUCCAAAAUAAAAAGAAAAAAAAAUAGGCUUUACGUAACAUAUUUUGCCUUCUAGAAUUCUAUGGACCAGACUCUGGGACUUCCCUCGAAGAGUUUCUGAAUUUAAGAGCCGACAAAGGAACAGCCAAGAAAAACAAAAGGAAGAUGAUGGAGGAAGGAGAUGAAGUGGAAGUGAGAGGACGGGACCUUUACCAGAAGACUGCAGGAUAGCAGUUUGGUUUACCACCUCCGAUUUUGGAAAGGGAAGUUUUCAAAACUUCAGAAAGUCUGAAGUGUUGACAGUAAAGGGUUAGUUGGAAGGGAGAAGGCAGCAGAGCGGGAAAAUGGAAGGAAGUAAGGUGAAAACAAAGAGGGGAAGAGUGGCAAGAAGUAGGAGAGCAUGGAGGAGGAGCAGGAUGAGCUGCAGGUCAGAGGGUAUUUGCUUAGGAUGGGACUUGGGGAGGACAUGGGACAGGAAGGCAUCUCUGCAAGAGGCUGGAAACAACGCUUUGAAACCGCGUGACUCAGCUGUAAAAGAGACUUGGAGCUGACCUGUAGGAAUUGUAGGACCACGAGAUACCCAAAGCAUCUACUCUUGAGUAAUAAUUAAAGAGAACUUAAUUUUCUGAGCUGUGAGAAUGUGCAGGUCCUGCCUUGAGCAGAGUUUGCAGGAUCCCAGCUGUGCUGUCACAGAUUAAGCUCUUUGUUCCCAUACCACCCCAUCUCCCAUGCUUGUUUACCUUUAUUCCCGUGCUGGUAGCCGUAGUCACUGAUGAGUGAUCUACCAGUGUUUGCAACUGCUAGAGAUAAGGUUAGAGGCAUUCUGUAACAUAAAGGAAUGCUUACUGUGACCACUGUUUUCCACUUGCAUGCUGUUAACCUGUUUCGCUGUCGUUGCUGCUUCAACUCUUCCUUUUCUUCCCUUUCUUAACUUAUAUUUCUUAUGCUUUACAGUGCUUUUGAGUCAUUGCCCGGGUCCUUCCAAUGGUUCAGUCUUUUCCAUGUCUAUCUGAUGUCAUGGGGUAAACCAUCUCCAUGCAGGAAGAAGAAUCUGUUGGUUUCUUAAGCAGGCUUGUCUACUCACACCUCCGAAUCUGAAAACAUCGCUCUGCUGUGAGGGGAGAGGUCUGCUAUUCCUGCACUCCCAAGGUCUGGUGCUAUGCCCUGUGGCAGCCAUGGUGCCGUGUGUCAGGACGGAUGGGUAUGCACAUCUCAUGUUGCUUUUGCAGGUGUGCAAACCUCAGUUAUUUUGAGGCCUGUAGUCAUCACAAACCAAGAAGAAUCAUCUACAAACAUGAAGGAAGCUGCUUCUCCAGUUCUCAGGAAGGUUGUCACUGAGGAGUAUUCCCACUAGUUCCACCUCUCUUUACCUAACUCAUCCCUUUGAAAGGCCCGUUAGCAGAGUGCAGCAGGAGAGGCUCGCCUAUGGGCUCUUCUGGAGCCAGUCAGUGUCUUCCUGAAUGCUGGCCAGACUUGAGGAGAUGGCUCCUCUCAGCUCCUCCCACAGGCUGUAACUGGCUUUAGUGUCCCUCCUGCCCCCGGUGAAGGGGGCUGUGCUCCCAGCCUGCCCUUCUGGAUUUCACAGGGCAGUGUCAUGUGAGUUCAUCCUCUUUCUUCCUACUGUUCUUUUCAUUCAGAUGUUUACUCCUCCCAAAGAAAGGGGCUGUUGUGUAGGCUCUGCUCCUUCAUUGCCACAACAGGCCAGAUGAGCUCCUGAGCCCAUCGUUAGAUGCUGUUCCUUGGCUCCUGUUGCAGAGCAGGUUUCAUGGCACGUGAAACUGUCUUUGGGCACUUCUCCCACAGCUCUUUGCUUUCUUGCAGGCUUGCACGUCCCUUUUCAUCUGGACAGGUCCCACCACUUCCGUUUAUUUCCUUCUCAAGAUCCUCUCAUCUCUUGGCUUCAGGAAAAAAUACCUGACAAAAUGGACUGGCUAAAAACCACCUUUGGGGAUCAACCUCACCACUGAAAUUGAAACCAGUUCUUCUGGUUUGGGACACGAAAAUGAAGGAAGCGUGGAAGGAAGAGCCAGCUUUCCCUACAAAGGAUGCUGAUGGGGGAAAGAAGAGGUGGCAGGCUGAGUGACGCAUUGCAUGGAUGACAAGCAGCAGCUUGGAGCUGUGGCUCUGGCAGGACCAGGCCAUGGAAAGGCACUCAGCAAAUUCUGCCCAACGCAGAGGGUGGCAACAUGGGGAGAAGGAGCCCACAGCCAUGGCACACCACUGUGGUGAGCUCCCAUCUCCCAGCCUCUGCCUGGACCUGGUCAUUGUCCUCCCUUGCCCCUGGUCUUCUGGUGAGAUGCAGCAUCCCCAGCAUCUACUGUAGCCAUCCUUUGAAAGGUGUCAGCUUUCUAAACUGUGAAGGAGAGGUCAGAACAAAAUAAUAGCUUGAGAACCUCUGUGGGUGUAUGCUCUGUGGUAGAAGCUGAAGUGCCCAAUGUGAACCUAACUUAAAAAAAUCAAGAUGUCUUGACACUGGGAAGAUCAAAAUACAUAGCUGUAACAUUUCUGGGCUUUCCUCAUUUUCAUGCUAGAUAAAACCUUGUGGUUUUUUUCCCCUUUAAUUUGAAUAGAAUUUGCAAAUACAGUUGGCUUGACUGCAGUGACAUGUUUUGGUGAAUAUAUCAUUUACCACUGAGGUAGAAAAACUCUCUAGUGUAGCAGUGAUUGGCUGGAGAAUAAAAAACAAAGAUGAAUGCAAGAAGAGGAGAAGGAGAGUUUGCAGGUGAGCACUGAGAUGAAACAGAGGUCAUAAAGGACAGCGAGGGCUACAGGAAAUCUGUUCAUGAUGGCAGCAGGUGCAGGGGAGAGUUCUCAUACAUUGAUGUCGAUCUGAUGCGAAAGUAUCACACAAAGAAGCAGCCAUGUGAAGAUGAUGAGAAUCAGAGAGGCUGAGACAAGGAGUGGAGAGCAGAGAGGCCAAUUUUCAGCUGUCACGGGGGCUCAGGAUGUGGUUUGAGGAGGAAAGGGCACUCAGGAGAGAUUGCUAGGAUUUGCCAGGAUUUCUGGUGCAGCAAGUAAUGCUGUAGUUACAUAGAUGGCUUCAUCGUGAGAAAGGCUUUUGGUGGAAAAGAGAAAAGGUUUAAACUCACACGUCUUCCCAGUUUGCUGUACAACAAAUGCUUGCCAGCACAGAGCAGACAGUAGCACAGGGAAGAGGAGAAAGGCACAGCUGGGGAAGAGCAAGCAGGGGGGGACAGACAGGGCUGUUUCUCCUGGCAGCUGUGCCUGCAUAUACCAGCUCAAUGGAAGCCUGAAACUGAGAAGCAGCCAAACACCCCAACUCUCUCCUGUCUAAUCUAAAAUAGAAGACACCCAUGCCCUAUCCACUGAUAAAUAUACUCUGCUGUGCAGUUUCUUAUAGCAUCCGUUUCACUUUAAACACCUGAGUACUGCCUGCAAUGCAUUAGGGCUAAACUGUAGGUGGGAGGUUUCUUUUGUAAGCUCUGCAAUUCUCAUCUGGUCACUUGGGUCAGACCUUCCAUGAAGGGUGCCAUCCAAAAAGCAUUAAAAAUUCUGUUCUCACCCACUAAUACGUGCUUCAGAAGUGUGUCUGCCUCCUGUGCCUGUUUCUCCAAGUACCUUUCAGUCCCCUGUGAAGUAUACCUGUGAACCUCCCUCCAGGCCCUUUCUGACAGUGUGGCAUUUGAACAAGGGCAGGUAUCAGAAAGCAGCUCCUUUCUUAAUAAAGGGAUAGAUUCACAUCCACUCUAUCUGGCAAAUACUGCUGAUUCUCUACCCAGCUAAUAAAUUACAGACUGCUGAGUAUUCUUUUA